rnacentral:rRNA from 1 species
AGAGUUUGAUCCUGGCUCAGGAUGAACGCUGGCGGCGUGCUUAACACAUGCAAGUCGAACGAUCCUUCGGGAUAGUGGCGGACGGGUGAGUAACGCGUGGGAAUCUGCCCUCAGGAGGGGGAUAACGGCUGGAAACGGCCGCUAAUACCCCAUAUGCCGAGAGGUGAAAUGAAUUUCGCCUGAGGAUGAGCCCGCGUCUGAUUAGCUAGUUGGUGGGGUAAAGGCCUACCAAGGCAACGAUCAGUAGCUGGUCUGAGAGGAUGAUCAGCCACACUGGGACUGAGACACGGCCCAGACUCCUACGGGAGGCAGCAGUGGGGAAUUUUCCGCAAUGGGCGAAAGCCUGACGGAGCAACGCCGCGUGAGGGAUGAAGGCCUCUGGGCUGUAAACCUCUUUUCUCAAGGAAGAAGACCUGACGGUACUUGAGGAAUAAGCCACGGCUAAUUCCGUGCCAGCAGCCGCGGUAAUACGGGAGUGGCAAGCGUUAUCCGGAAUUAUUGGGCGUAAAGCGUCCGCAGGCGGCCUUGUAAGUCUGUUGUUAAAGCGUGGAGCUCAACUCCAUUUAAGCAAUGGAAACUACAAGGCUGGAGUGUGGUAGGGGCAGAGGGAAUUCCCGGUGUAGCGGUGAAAUGCGUAGAUAUCGGGAAGAACACCAGUGGCGAAGGCGCUCUGCUGGCCAUAACUGACGCUCAUGGACGAAAGCCAGGGGAGCGAAAGGGAUUAGAUACCCCUGUAGUCCUGGCCGUAAACGAUGAACACUAGGUGUCGGGGGAAUCGACCCCCUCGGUGUCGUAGCCAACGCGUUAAGUGUUCCGCCUGGGGAGUACGCACGCAAGUGUGAAACUCAAAGGAAUUGACGGGGGCCCGCACAAGCGGUGGAGUAUGUGGUUUAAUUCGAUGCAACGCGAAGAACCUUACCAGGGUUUGACAUCCUGCGAACCCCUGAGAAAUCGGGGGGUGCCUUCGGGAGCGCAGAGACAGGUGGUGCAUGGCUGUCGUCAGCUCGUGUCGUGAGAUGUUGGGUUAAGUCCCGCAACGAGCGCAACCCACGUCUUUAGUUGCCAGCAUUCAGUUGGGCACUCUAGAGAGACCGCCGGUGAUAAACCGGAGGAAGGUGUGGAUGACGUCAAGUCAUCAUGCCCCUUACAUCCUGGGCUACACACGUACUACAAUGCUACGGACAAAGGGCAGCAAGCUCGCGAGAGUUAGCAAAUCCCAUAAACCGUGGCUCAGUUCAGAUCGUAGGCUGCAACUCGCCUACGUGAAGGAGGAAUCGCUAGUAAUCGCAGGUCAGCAUACUGCGGUGAAUACGUUCCCGGGCCUUGUACACACCGCCCGUCACACCAUGGAAGUUGGCCAUGCCCGAAGUCGUUACUCCAACCCUUGUGGAGGAGGACGCCGAAGGUGGGGCUGAUGACUGGGGUGAAGUCGUAACAAGGUA